rnacentral:lncRNA from 1 species
CGCGAGUCGCUUCUGGGGAAGCGUACUGGCGAGGUGCUUCGGCUGGGGCUAGGAGGCUCGACCGCGUGCCCCGGAGGGCAGGAGCGGUGGAGAGACCGGCGCGCGGGGGGCUGGGGCGCGGCGGCCCCGCGCGAGCUGCUUCUGCCUGAGCGUGCGGCAGGGACGGAUGGUGCUGUUUAUUACCCGAACUCUUCCUCAGAUUUUAAGAUUCAGUAUCGUUGCAUUCUUGCCCUCAUUCAUCUGCUCAUGAAAAACAAAGCCAAUUAUUUCAAAGACAAGCCUCAGGACCCGGCUCAGCCUGUUUUUCCCUUUGACUGACUUAGGUGUAUUUUCAGUUGCAAGUAAUAAAAAACCAACUUUUAAAUGGAUU